AUGCCCGUCAUCACUCUCUCUCAUCACUCCCUAUGCCCGUCAUCACUCUCUCUCAUCACUCCCUAUGCCCGUCAUCACUCUCUCUCAUCACUCCCUAUGCCCGUCAUCACUCUCUCUCAUCACUCCCUAUGCCCGUCAUCCCUCUCACUCCCAAUGCCCGUCAUCCCUCUCUCUCAUCACUCCCUAUGCCCGUCAUCACUCUCUCUCAUCACUCCCUAUGCCCGUCAUCACUCUAUCCCUCUCAUUCCCUAUGCCCGUCAUCCCUCUAUCCCUCUCACUCCCUAUGCCCGUCAUCACUCUCAUCACCCCCUAUGCCCGUCAUCCCUCUAUCCCUCUCACUCCCUAUGCCCGUCAUCACUCUCUCUCAUCACCCCCUAUGCCCGUCAUCUCUCUCACUCCCUAUGCCUGUCAUCCCUCUAUCCCUCUCACUCCCUAUGCCCGUCAUCCCUCUAUCCCUCUCACUCCCUAUGCCCGUCAUCCCUCUAUCCCUCUCACUCCCUAUGCCCGUCAUCCCUCUAUCCCUCACUCCCUAUGCCCAUCAUCCCUCUAUCCCUCACUCCCUAUGCCCGUCACUCUAUCCCUCUCACUCCCUAUGCCCAUCAUCCCUCUCACUCCCUAUUCCCGUCAUCACUCUCUCUCAUCACUCCCUAUGCCCGUCAUCACUCUCUCUCAUCACUCCCUAUGCCCGUCAUCCCUCUCACUCCCUAUGCCCGUCAUCCCUCUAUCCCUCUCACUCCCUAUGCCCGUCAUUCCUCUAUCCCUCUCACUCCCUAUGCCCGUCAUCACUCUCUCUCAUCACUCCCUAUGCCCGUCAUCACUCUCUCUCAUCACUCCCUAAGCCCGUCAUCACUCUAUCCCUCUCACUCCCUAUGCCCGUCAUCCCUCUAUCCCUCUCACUCCCUAUGCCCGUCAUCCCUCUAUCCCUCUCACUCCCUAUGCCCGUCAUCUCUCUCUCAUCACUCCCUAUGUCCGUCAUCACUCUCUCUCAUCACUCCCUAUGCCCGUCAUCCCUCUAUCCCUCUCACUCCCUAUGCCCGUCAUUCCUCUCACUCCCUAUGCCCGUCAUCACUCUCUCUCAUCACUCCCUAUGCCCGUCAUCACUCUAUCCCUCUCACUCCCUAUGCCCGUCAUCCCUCUAUCCCUCUCACUCCCUAUGCCCGUCAUUCCUCUCACUCCCUAUGCCCGUCAUCCCUCUAUCCCUCUCACUCCCUAUGCCCGUCAUCCCUCUAUCCCUCUCACUCCCUAUGCCCGUCAUCCCUCUCACUCCCUAUGCCCGUCAUCACUCUCUCUCAUCACCCCCUAUGCCCGUCAUCCCUCUAUCCCUCUCACCCCCUAUGCCCGUCAUCCCUCUAUCCCUCUCACUCCCUAUGCCCGUCAUCCCUCUCACUCCCUAUGCCCGUCAUUCCUCUAUCCCUCUCACUCCCUAUGCCCGUCAUCCCUCUAUCCCUCUCACUCCCUAUGCCCGUCAUCCCUCUGUCCCUCACUCCCUAUGCCCGUCAUCCCUCUAUCCCUCACUCCCUAUGCCAAUCAUCCCUCUAUCCCUCUCACUCCCUAUGCCCGUCAUCCCUCUAUCCCUCUCACUCCCUAUGCCUGUCAUCCCUCUCACUCCCUAUGCCUGUCAUCCCUGUAUCCCUCUCACUCCCUAUGCCCGUCAUCCCUCUCACUCCCUAUGCCCGUCAUCCCUCUAUCCCUCUCACCCCCUAUGCCUGUCAUCCCUCUAUCCCUCUCACUCCCUAUGCCCGUCAUCCCUCUAUCCCUCUCACUCCCUAUGCCCGUCAUCCCUCUAUCCCUCACUCCCUAUGCCCGCCAUCCCUCUAUCCCUCUCACUCCCUAUGCCCAUCAUCCCUCUAUCCCUCACUCCCUAUGCCCGUCAUCACUCUUUCCCUCUCACUCCCUAUGCCCAUCAUCCCUCUCACUCCCUAUGCCCGUCAUCCCUCUCACUCCCUAUGCCCGUCAUCCCUCUAUCCCUCUCACUCCCUAUGCCCGUCAUCCCUCUAUCCCUCUCACUCCCUAUGCCCGUCAUCCCUCUAUCCCUCUCACUCCCUAUGCCUGUCAUCCCUCUAUCCCUCUCACUCCCUAUGCCCGUCAUCCCUCUAUCCCUCUCACUCCCUAUGCCCGUCAUUCCUCUCACUCCCUAUGCCCGUCAUCCCUCUAUCCCUCUCACUCCCUAUGCCCGUCAUCCCUCUAUCCCUCUCACUCCCUAUGCCUGUCAUCCCUCUAUCCCUCUCACUCCCUAUGCCCGUCAUCCCUCUCACUCCCUAUGCCCGUCAUCACUCUCUCUCAUCACCCCCUAUGCCCGUCAUCCCUCUAUCCCUCUCACCCCCUAUGCCCGUCAUCCCUCUAUCCCUCUCACUCCCUAUGCCCGUCAUCCCUCUCACUCCCUAUGCCCGUCAUCCCUCUAGCCCUCUCACUCCCUAUCCCUGUCAUCCCUCUAUCCCUCUCACUCCCUAUGCCCGUCAUCCCUCUGUCCCUCACUCCCUAUGCCCGUCAUCCCUCUAUCCCUCACUCCCUAUGCCCAUCAUCCCUCUAUCCCUCUCACUCCCUAUGCCCGUCAUCCCUCUAUCCCUCUCACUCCCUAUGCCCGUCAUCCCUCUAUCCCUCUCACUCCCUAUGCCUGUCAUCCCUGUAUCCCUCUCACUCCCUAUGCCCGUCAUCCCUCUCACUCCCUAUGCCCGUCAUCCCUCUAUCCCUCUCACCCCCUAUGCCUGUCAUCCCUCUAUCCCUCUCACUCCCUAUGCCCGUCAUCCCUCUAUCCCUCUCACUCCCUAUGCCCGUCAUCCCUCACUCCCUAUGCCCGCCAUCCCUCUAUCCCUCUCACUCCCUAUGCCCAUCAUCCCUCUAUCCCUCACUCCCUAUGCCCGUCAUCACUCUAUCCCUCACUCCCUAUGCCCAUCAUCCCUCUCACUCCCUAUGCCCGUCAUCCCUCUCACUCCCUAUGCCCGUCAUCCCUCUAUCCCUCUCACUCCCUAUGCCCGUCAUCCCUUUACCCCUCUCACUCCCUAUGCCUGUCAUCCCUCUAUCCCUCUCACUCCCUAUGCCCGUCAUCCCUCUAUCCCUCUCACUCCCUAUGCCUGUCAUCCCUGUAUCCCUCUCACUCCCUAUGCCCUUCAUCCCUCUAUCCCUCUCACUCCCUAUGCCCGUCAUCCCUCUAUCCCUCUCACUCCCUAUGCCCGUCAUCCCUCUAUCCCUCUCACUCCCUAUGCCCGUAAUCACUCUCUCUCAUCACUCCCUAUGCCCGUCAUCCCUCUAUCCCUUUCACUCCCUAUGCCCUUCAUCCCUCUAUCCCUCUCACUCCCUAUGCCCGUCAUCCCUCUAUCCCUCUCACUCCCUAUGCCCGUCAUCCCUCUAUCCCUCUCACUCCUUAUGCCCGUCAUCCCUCUCACUCCCUUUGCCCAUCAUCCCUCUAUCCCUCUCACCCCCUAUGCCCGUCAUCCCUCUAUCCCUCUCACUCCCUAUGCCCGUCAUCCCUCUAUCCCUCUCACUCCCUAUGCCCGUCAUCCCUCUCACUCCCUAUGCCCGUCAUCCCUCUCACUCCCUAUGCCCGUCAUCCCUCUCACUCCCUAUGCCCGUCAUCACUCUCUCUCAUCACUCCCUAUGCCCGUCAUCCCUCUAUCCCUCUCACUCCCUAUGCCCUCUAUCCCUCUCGCUCCCUAUGCCCGUCAUCCCUCUAUCCCUCUCGCUCCCUAUGCCCGUCAUCCCUCUAUCCCUCUCACUCCCUAUGCCCGUCAUCCCUCUAUCCCUCUCACUCCCUAUGCCCGUCAUCCCUCUAUCCCUCUCACUCCCUAUGCCCGUCAUCCCUCUAUCCCUCUCACUCCCUAUGCCCGUCAUCCCUCUCACUCCAUAUGCCCGUCAUCCCUCUAUCCCUCUCACUCCCUAUGCCCGUCAUCCCUCUAUCCCUCUCACUCCCUAUGCCCGUCAUCCCUCUCACUCCCUAUGCCCGUCAUCCCUCUCACUCCCUAUGCCCGUCAUCCCUCUAUCCCUCUCGCUCCCUAUGCCCGUCAUCCCUCUAUCCCUCUCACUCCCUAUGCCCGUCAUCUCUCUCACUCCCUAUGCCUGUCAUCCCUCUAUCCCUCUCACUCCCUAUGCCCGUCAUCACUCUAUCCCUCUGUUUUUGUCUCCCACCUCCAACUUCGCAGUAUAAGGGAGACGGGAAGUGGUGAGGGUUUAACAAGCCUCUGGAGACAGGAAGUGGUGAGGGUUUAA
ensembl:lncRNA